rnacentral:rRNA from 1 species
CCAAAAGCUGGCGACCGGCGCACGGGUGAGUAACACGUAUCCAACCUGCCGAUAACUCGGGGAUAGCCUUUCGAAAGAAAGAUUAAUACCCGAUGGUAUAAUCAGACCGCAUGGUUUGAUUAUUAAAGAAUUUCGGUUAUCGAUGGGGAUGCGUUCCAUUAGGCAGUUGGUGAGGUAACGGCUCACCAAACCUUCGAUGGAUAGGGGUUCUGAGAGGAAGGUCCCCCACAUUGGAACUGAGACACGGUCCAA